GAACUUAAGCAUAUCAAUAAGCGGAGGAAAAGAAACCAACAGGGAUUGCCUCAGUAACGGCGAGUGAAGCGGCAACAGCUCAAAUUUGAAAUCUGGCUCUUUCAGGGUCCGAGUUGUAAUUUGUAGAAGAUGCUUUGGGUGUGGCUCCGGUCUAAGUUCCUUGGAACAGGACGUCAUAGAGGGUGAGAAUCCCGUAUGUGACUGGCCGCCUUCGCCCGUGUAAAGCUCUUUCGACGAGUCGAGUUGUUUGGGAAUGCAGCUCAAAAUGGGUGGUAAAUUUCAUCUAAAGCUAAAUAUUGGCCAGAGACCGAUAGCGCACAAGUAGAGUGAUCGAAAGAUGAAAAGCACUUUGGAAAGAGAGUUAAACAGUACGUGAAAUUGUUGAAAGGGAAGCGCUUGCAACCAGACUUGCGCGCAGUUAAUCAUCUGGUGUUCUCACUGGUGCACUUUUCUGCGUUCAGGCCAGCAUCGGUUCAGGUGGUGGGAUAAAGGCCUUGGGAAUGUAGCUUCUUUCGGGGAGUGUUAUAGCCCUCGGUGCAAUGCCGCCUAUCUGGACCGAGGACCGCGCUUCGGCUAGGAUGCUGGCGUAAUGGUUGUAAGCGACCCGUCUUGAAACACGGACCAAGGAGUCUAACAUCUAUGCGAGUGUUUGGGUGUCAAACCCAUACGCGUAAUGAAAGUGAACGGAGGUGAGAACCCUUAAGGGUGCAUCAUCGACCGAUCCUGAUGUCUUCGGAUGGAUUUGAGUAAGAGCAUAGCUGUUGGGACCCGAAA
rnacentral:rRNA from 1 species